UACGUAGGGUGCGAGCGUUGUCCGGAAUUAUUGGGCGUAAAGGGCUCGUAGGCGGUUUGUCGCGUUCGGGAGUGAAACUCCGAUUGGCUUAACUGGUGGCUUGCUUUCGAUACGGGGCAGACUGGAGGUAUGCAGGGGAGAACGGAAUUCCUGGUGUAGCGGUGAAAUGCGCAGAUAUCAGGAGGAACACCGGUGGCGAAGGCGGUUCUCUGGGCAUGUCCUGACGCUGGAGGAGCGAAAGCCAGGGGAGCAAACGGG
rnacentral:rRNA from 1 species